GUCCGCCUAGCUCAGUAGGAUAGAGCAUGACACUCUUAAUGUCAAGGUCGCGAGUUCAACCCUCGCGGUGGGCC